rnacentral:rRNA from 1 species
GACGAACGCUGGCGGCGUGCUUAACACAUGCAAGUCGAACGGUGAAGCGCCUUCCUUUUUGGUGGGUGUGGAUGAGUGGCGAACGGGUGCGUAACACGUGAGUAACCUGCCCCCUUCUUCUGGAUAACCGCAUGAAAGUGUGGCUAAUACGGGAUAUUCUGGGUCUGUCGCAUGAUGGGUCUGGGAAAGAUAUUGUUUCGGUGGGGGAUGGGCUCGCGGCCUAUCAGCUUGUUGGUGGGGUGAUGGCCUACCAAGGCGGUGACGGGUAGCCGGCCUGAGAGGGUGGACGGUCACACUGGGACUGAGACACGGCCCAGACUGCUACGGGGGGCAGCAGUGGGGAAUAUGGCACAAUGGGCGCAAGCCUGAUGCAGCGACGCCGCGUGAGGGAUGGAGGCCUGCGGGUUGUGAACCUCUUUCGCCAGUGAAGCAGGCCUGCCUCGUUUGUGGGUGGGUUGACGGUAGCUGGAUAAGAAGCGCCGGCUAACUACGUG